GGCCAAUGAGCCGUAUGACCAGGCUAUCGUACCCCCAAGCAAGGAGGAGAACUUUCUCAUAGAAGACAGUAGACAGUUCAGAAUGAGCCAAACUCAAAGCCCACAGACGAAGGUAUGAUGCAGUGUUAGAGACAGCACCCAAAACAAACUCAAUAGAAUGUAUCAUUUGAUGCACAAAAACCUCACUAAAAUUAAAUUCCUCAUGGUGGUGUUGCCUGGCAGAGUCCGGUUCCUCAUAAAUAUCCACCUCGGAGGUUCCAAGAAGGCCAUAAGUUCCGCCUUGAAAUCUCUCAGUGUGAAGUCUCUUCAAAAUAAAAGGUUUUGGGAAUAGCAUCCAUGGAACAGCAACAAGUGCCAAAAGCAGCAAUAUUACCUGAAGCACACUCUGGCCCCAAAACAACUGGUUUUCAC
rnacentral:misc_RNA from 1 species